UAUAAAUAAAAGGAAAUGCUGACUGACUGACUGACUGACUGACUGAUCUAUCAAUUAAGCUCAAACUACUAGACGGAUCGGGCUGGAAUUUGGCAUGCAGAAUAGCUAUUAUGGCGUAGAUAUUCGCUAAAAAAGGGUUUUUGCAAAUUCACACUCCG